rnacentral:rRNA from 1 species
AUUGAACGCUGGCGGCAUGCUUUACACAUGCAAGUCGAACGGCAGCGCGGGCUUCGGCCUGGUGGCGAGUGGCGAACGGGUGAGCAAUACAUCGGAACGUGCCCAGUUGUGGGGGAUAGCUCGGCGAAAGCCGGAUUAAUACCGCAUACGACCUGAGGGUGAAAGCGGGGGAUCUUCGGACCUCGCGCUAUUGGAGCGGCCGAUGGCGGAUUAGCUAGUUGGUGGGGUAAAGGCCUACCAAGGCGACGAUCCGUAGCUGGUCUGAGAGGACGACCAGCCACACUGGAACUGAGACACGGCCCAGACUCCUACGGGAGGCAGCAGUGGGGAAUUUUGGACAAUGGGCGAAAGCCUGAUCCAGCAAUGCCGCGUGUGUGAUGAAGGCCUUCGGGUUGUAAAGCACUUUUGGCGGGAACGAAAAGGACUGUGCCAAUACCACGGUUCGAUGACGGUACCCGCAGAAUAAGCACCGGCUAACUACGUG